UACAGAGGUGGCAAGCGUUGUUCGGAAUUACUGGGCGUAAAGGGCGCGUAGGCGGCCCUCCUAGUCGCGUGUGAAAGCCCCGGGCUCAACCUGGGAACGGCGCGCGAAACGGGGGGGCUGGAGUUCGGGAGAGGAGCGUGGAAUUCCCAGUGUAGAGGUGAAAUUCGUAGAUAUUGGGAAGAACACCGGUGGCGAAGGCGGCGCUCUGGACCGAGACUGACGCUGAGGCGCGAAAGCCAGGGGAGCGAACGGG
rnacentral:rRNA from 1 species